rnacentral:rRNA from 1 species
UACGUAGGGGGCAAGCGUUGUCCGGAAUGACUGGGCGUAAAGGGUACGUAGGCGGUCAUGUAAGUCAGGUGUGAAAUUCUAGGGCUCAACCCUAGAUAGCACUUGAAACUGCGUGACUUGAGUCAAGGAGAGGAAAGUGGAAUUCCUGGUGUAGCGGUGAAAUGCGUAGAUAUCAGGAGGAAUACCAGUGGCGAAGGCGACUUUCUGGCCUUGGACUGACGCUGAGGUACGAAAGCGUGGGGAGCAAACA